UACGGGGGGAGCAAGCGUUGUUCGGAUUUACUGGGCGUAAAGGGCGCGUAGGCGGCCACCGCAAGUCGACUGUGAAAUCUCUGAGCUUAACUCAGAGCGGCCAAGUGAUACUGCAGUGCUAGAGUGUGGAAGGGGCAAUCGGAAUUCUUGGUGUAGCGGUGAAAUGCGUAGAUAUCAAGAGGAACACCUGAGGUGAAGACGGGUUGCUGGGCCAACACUGACGCUGAUGCGCGAAAGCCAGGGGAGCAAACGGG
rnacentral:rRNA from 1 species